UACGAAGGGGGCUAGCGUUGCUCGGAAUUACUGGGCGUAAAGCGUGCGUAGACGGUUCUGUAAGUCGGAUGUGAAAUCCCCGGGCUCAACCUGGGAAUUGCAUUCGAGACUGCAAAGCUUGGGUGCGGAAGAGGGAAGCGGAAUUUCCGGUGUAGCGGUGAAAUGCGUAGAUAUCGGAAGGAACAUCAGUGGCGAAAGCGGCUUCCUGGUCCAGCACCGACGUCAGGCACGAAAGCGUGGGGAGCAAACAGG
rnacentral:rRNA from 1 species